UAUGCUAAUGCCACAUUUUCGGUUGAUUCAGCAAAAGAGAGUCAUGGAUAUGCAAAGACAGUACGAGUGAACCUACCUUCUUUGAGAGGUUUGGUAGGGAGAAAGAUUUUAAGCGAAGCUAUGGCUAGGAAAGCUGCAGGCAGUGGACUGAACUAUAGUUGUUUGAAAUUAGCAUACACAAGGAAUGGAGUGUAUGGUAUAAGAAAUGUUUUUGGAGAGAAGUGUGGUAUGAAAGGGGUAAGAGUGACCAGAUCUUCAAAAAUUGCUGACACUGUUGGGCGAUAUUUUUCAGAGCUGCAAGUGUGUGUAAAUGAGGUAUAAGCAAAACUGACAAUGUAUGAUCAAAGAUCAAUUCAAAAUAUUUUGAUUUAUAGCUCUAGAUAUAUACUGUUAACAAAUAUGUCUGUCAUUCUUUGGUAUGCCAAUCAACAAGUUUUUAGCUUUGUGUAAGUGUUUGGAAACCUUAUAAGUCUAAAAGUGGAAAUGAUAUUAUGGCAGAAUAAUGUGUCAAUAUAUACUUGUUGCAAUUUUUCUACAAACUCACUAAGUAUUUGGAUAAGUUAGCUAAAUACAAAGUAUACAAUCCACACCAUUCUUAUUUUAUUAAUGCCUACAUUAGAUGGCUAUCAGUGAUAUAAUGGCAAAAUUCUGCUGAAUAUUUACCAAUUGCCAUGUAUUGAACUUCAUAUUUUGAGCUUGAAAAAAAACUUUUGAAAGUUUGAAAAGUGGAAUUAAACUCAAACUUCAUACAGUGCUUAUGUGGCAGGAUCGAUUUUAAUAUAUUGUUAAUUGUAUUGUCUCCGUAAUUGUUUCGUCGUAUAGUGAUUAGUUCCCGUUUAUUCUGUACAUCGUCUGAGCGUAUAUUCUAGUUAUUGUGUCAUAUGUUGUGUCAUAUAGUCAUUGGUCAGUUUAGUCUUUGUCUUACGUCAUAGUCAUAUGUCUUAUUUCAUUGGUUAUUCGAUUUCGCGGUAUUUCUUAUGUUCCGGUCAUUGUUUCAUUAUGUGACUUGUCAGCGAACGGAACAUACCGUUUGUGGUGUUGAUACAAGCUUAAGAAUAUCGACGUCAUGUAAUCCUUGAUGGGCCUACACCGUAAUUGAGACCAUGAACACUACCCACCUAUUGUAUGGAGGCCUAGAGCCGAGGGCCGAAUAGCUGUACUGAUUUAUGUACUCCGAGAUCCUACUCGUCCUAUGAACUUUAUGCCUGUUGUGUACCUUCCCUGUUUUGGAAGGAUGGACCGACAUAACCUGCGUGGUAUGUCUGAGCGGUGAUACACAUCGCGGCAGAGAUGUGACAUUGUUAUUGAUGACGUCACAGUUGUUGAGAUAUUCAACGUCUUGGGAUCAUCAUUACAGACGUAGAGAUUCUGUUCUACUAUAACGUUGAUUCCCUGUUGUGGAUGCUGACCAUGUUCAGUACAUGUAUAUUGAGCACUGCGUGUGUGACUUUGUUCUGCUAUAUAAGACGGCACUGAUGAGAUCCUGAGGGACCUAUGACGGAGACAUUGUUGUUCAUGUUCAUCUGGAGCUUAGCAACCUAACUGUGUGGACUCGGUGUUCAACUGUGGUGGCCUUUGAGAGACUUGUAGGGAAUAGGGUGUCUAUGUUUAUGUGUUUUUGCGUAUGUGUCUAUGAAUGUAUCAGAGUGUGUUGUAUGUAAGAUUGUGUGAUGAGCGUGUUUAUAAAUAAAUGUUAAUAUACAUGCUUGUACAAAUUGUAAAUAAAUCUUGUAUAUAUUGUA